AUAUGGCAGGUUCAAACAAUAAAGCAGUGGUUUUCAACCAGGGUUUCGCGGAACCUUAAGGUUCCGUUAGUACAGUCCAGGGGUUCCGCAAGAAGUUACAAAAAUGCUAAAUUCAACAGUAAUUUUUAAUUCUCCUCUGCAGAUAUGUGUGCAUAAGACAAUUAAAUUAUUGCACAGGGGUUCCU